CCUACGGGGAGCAGCAGUGAGGAAUAUUGGUCAAUGGACGAGAGUCUGAACCAGCCAAGUAGCGUGAAGAAUGACUGCCCUAUGGGUUGUAAACUUCUUUUAUAUGGGAAUAAAAUGUUCCACGUGUGGGAUUUUGUAUGUACCAUAUGAAUAAGGAUCGGCUAACUCCGUGCCAGCAGCCGCGGUAAUACGGAGGAUCCGAGCGUUAUCCGGAUUUAUUGGGUUUAAAGGGAGCGUAGGUGGAUUGUUAAGUCAGUUGUGAAAGUUUGCGGCUCAACCGUAAAAUUGCAGUUGAAACUGGCAGUCUUGAGUACAGUAGAGGUGGGCGGAAUUCGUGGUGUAGCGGUGAAAUGCUUAGAUAUCACGAAGAACUCCGAUUGCGAAGGCAGUUCACUGGACUGCAACUGACACUGAGGCUCGAAAGUGUGGGUAUCAAACAGGAUUAGAUACCCAGUC
rnacentral:rRNA from 1 species